CCUACGGGAGGCAGCAGUGGGGAAUAUUGCACAAUGGGGGAAACCCUGAUGCAGCGACGCCGCGUGAGUGAAGAAGUAAUUCGUUAUGUAAAGCUCUAUCAGCAGGGAAGAAAAUGACGGUACCUGAGUAAGAAGCCCCGGCUAACUACGUGCCAGCAGCCGCGGUAAUACGUAGGGGGCAAGCGUUAUCCGGAUUUACUGGGUGGAAAGGGAGCGUAGACGGCAGUGCAAGUCUGGAGUGAAAGGCGGGGGCUCAACCCCCGGACUGCUCUGGAAACUGUACGGCUGGAGUGCAGGAGAGGGAAGUGGAAUUCCUAGUGUAGCGGUGAAAUGCGUAGAUAGUAGGAGGAACACCAGUGGCGAAGGCGGCUUACUGGACUGUAACUGACGUUGAGGCUCGAAAGCGUGGGGAGCAAACAGGAUUAGAUACCCCGGUAGUC
rnacentral:rRNA from 1 species